rnacentral:lncRNA from 1 species
AUCCAAGGCUUCUCCCUUCUCUCAGCCUGCAUCCCACAUGCUUAUUUGUUUUAUCUGGUCUGUUACAGAAGCCAUUGUGUUCACUGGAAGCUGACAUCCGGGACUUGGCAUCCAUUACAGGUCUAACAAAAGACCGUAAUCCAGGCUUUUGAACCGAUCAUCCACACAGCUCUACAUCAGCUGUGCAGGGGUGUAAACCUGCGCCGACCAAGCACAAGGCAGCUAUCCCACCUGUUCCAUCAUUUCCCCACCUUAUGUGCACUCACUCUGAGAACUGCAAGCAAUUACUCUGGAGCUGGAGGAGGCCGUCAGUCUUCCCUGGCACCUGCUGGGCCUGAUCCCACAAGCUGCCAUUCUCCCCACUGAUUUGAAAAGGAGCUGGAAGUGCUCAGCACCUUGCAGGUUGAUGAAAGCCUGGAAUGACUGUUCCUAACUUAGGAGAGUGCCUGAAGUGUGAGAGGAAUCAAGGAACAAAACACAUGGAUUAACAAUUGCGCACAAUGGAAGCUGGCAGAGAUAUGUGAUAAGAACUUGAAUUACCGUUGUUGCAAAUAUCGUAAACUUUUAAAGUAGAUUCAGCACACACAAAAAGCAUUUUUUCUGAGCAUCUGGAAAUAGUGCGUGUAAUUCUCCUUUUAGUGUUACAUAACUUCACUGCUAGCAAAACCUGGUGAAUAAAAAAUAAAAGUGUUACUAGUGCA